GACUUCCGUUUUGUGUGCCGCUCUCAUUCUCGGUGUCUCCUCCCCACUCUCUCUCUGUAACACGUUGCGCAGUGGACAGGACCCUGCAUUUGCUUCAGCGCACUGAAAAAGAAAACAGGGAGAGAGGAGUCUCUCUUCCCCGAGAAAUAUCGUGCGCACGUUAGCAAAACGAAGAAAAACACGGUACGAAAACAGACUGCGCCGGGAAGGGAAGGACGACGGCACAGAGGAAGAACACUGCUCACCACCUCUUUUCAUUCCCUCUCUCGGCGUCUACUUUUUGGGUUCUUCUUUGUCUCACUCGGCUGUGUGUCUGUCUGCGCGUGUGUGUUCGUGUGGACUUGUGGAUGCCUUUCGCCCUAUCGUUAUUGUGAUCUUUCCUUUUCCGUUUUCCUGUCCUCUCAUCUGGCUCUCCCCUCUUUGCUCGGCGGCUUGUGCUCCUUUACCUCUCUCCCUCCGGCCUCUCGGUUGCUUCUUAGACUCUUUCUCCCUUUGUCUGUCUUGUGCAUGUUUUUUUUUUCUUGCUUACUGAACCUUUUUCUCGUACGCUUGCUGACGCGUUCAUGAGAGAAUGGCACAUUGAAGAACAUGUAUAUAUAUAUAUACUAGAUCAUUCGCUGCAGGUGCGCGUACUCACUCAGACACGCCCGAUCCACACGCCGGACCCUACCACUGUUGCCCCUUCCCUGGCCUUUUUUAUUUGGACUUGUGCACGGCUCUCUGUUCUUCCUCGCAAGCCGCGCUUCUCACAUGAGGGACACCGCUGACGUUUGGUUUCCUUCUAUUCUGUUCUCCCUUGGAGCUCACCGGUAGACGCGACAGCAGAUGCCUAAACGGUUUGCGCUGUGACUCCUUCAAGGCUGCUAGAGGUAGCAAAGGGGCAAGGAGGAAACAAGCUUUUUUUUUGCGGCGCCUCCGCCUUCUUGAGCGCCUCGCCAUCUCUGCGCAUCUUUGUUUCUCUGGUGCCUUCACUGCCCGCUGGCUACAUCACUGCCAGGGCAUCAGUGAGGAAGAGAGAAAAGGAGGAGGAAGGCUCCUUUUCACACGCGCACUAGCUGGCACAGACUUGCCGCACCUAUUCACCUACAAAGAUAUUCACUGCUUCGCCGAUGUCGAAAAGUCUCUCUUUGAACAGGUCAUUAGCGUCUUUUUCUCAAAGGAUCUCUCUUGGGUGGCGUAUGCAGUGCAGCUCAACUGAGCUGCUCCUUCCUUGCCUUCCUUCUACGUUUUUUUCUAGCGCGUUGUUUCCUCGUAUUGUUACUACGAUGCCCGUCUAGCUUCUCGUCUUUUCUCCUCUUAUUUGCUCCUCUCUCUGCCACGUGUGCAUUUGUGCGCUCCCUCGUUCUCUCUCUUGCAGCUUUUCCACGCUACGUCCUGGGUUGCAUCGUUUCCUUUUCUCCGUCAUUCCUUUGGUUUUCACCCCGCCUUACACUUCCCCUUUCCCUCUGUCUCCUCUUAUCUCUGGGUUUUCCUGCUGUUGCUGUUCUUCCUUCUCCCUUUCUUUCUGCCAUUUUUCCGGCGGGUGACCAGUUCCGCUGCUGUUUCGACUGUUUGAUGGCAUUAUGGACGCCGUUGUUGUGCCCGUGUUUGCCUCUGCUGCGUCUUCUGACGUUGGAUCUCUUUCGCCCGCUUUCCCUCGGGUGUCGCUGUAACCCACCUUUCCCUCCUUUUUGUUUGUCUCCCUGCGCAUGUUUCGUUACGUCUCCGCGCCUUUGUGAGGGCGGUGCACAGAUUCAUAUCAAUGUAUAUAUGCACGUACGGAAUUCUGCCCUUUCCCCUGCUGACAGGAGGAUAUCUCAUUGCUUGGUAUCUUUGGGUCCAGUACACCCCCUCCCCCCACUCUGCGUGGGGAAGCCAAGCAGCCUCUCCCUAUCCCCUGCCAAUGCCGAGCCACCUCUGGUGGUGACAGGGCCAAGUGCCUACGACGUGAGGGGGAGGCCAGAGUGGUUUGCCGCUACGGAUGCCGGCGGUCAGGCUGUGGACAUUGUUGCGCUGGAGAGGCCAGCGACGGUGCGCACGCUUCUGCCAUCCAUGUGAUGGGCGAAGUGUCAGCGCGACUCGUACGUAUCCCACCCCCGGGCCUCGCACUGCCCCACUGGUGUGGGGCGCCGGAGUGCGGGACCGCGAGGAGAUGCACUGGGUGGCGACCAGCACAAGGGUAGCUGCUGUGAGGCGACCUGCGAUGCGGGGAGGGGGGGGGCGAGUAGAGUUUUGCGUAGGGGCGGUGCUGGGAUGACGGAGUCGGCGCAUUGCUGUAACACGUGUGCCUAGCGCUGCCUCGCACCACGCGGAUGGGGCCUGAGGUAGUCUGUUAGAGCGAACUCACUUUCUAUGGCAGAAAUGGUCUACACGUUGAGGAGCUGAAUACCCCUUCUAGUUUCCGUUGCUUUUCCUGUGCUUCCACCUUCUCUUUCCUCUCUCUUCUCUCUCCCGCGUGUGCGUGUCGUCUCUUUUUCCACUUCUGUCUGCUUCACCCCCUCUCCACUCCGUACAAG
rnacentral:misc_RNA from 1 species